GCCGGGUGCGGUGGCAUGUGCCUGUAAUCCAAGUCACUGGGAGGCUGAGGUUGGUGGAUCAAGUGAGCUGAGGAGCUCUGGGCUGCAGCACGCUAUGUUCAACGGGUGUCCACGCUAAGUUCGGUAUCGAUAUGGUGUUCCUGGGGGAGCCCGGGACCACCAGGUUGUCUAAGGAGGGGUGAACCGGCCCAGGUCGGAAACGAAGCAGGUCAAAUCCCCCGUGCUGUCCAGUAGUGGGAUAAUACCUGUGAGUAGAUGCUGCAGUGCAGCCUUGGCAAAACAUCGAGACCUAAUCUUUU
rnacentral:SRP_RNA from 1 species